UGGCUGGCCUACCCUUGGGUUGGUGCUGUUCCCCCCCCCCCCGGCUUCCCUCCCAAUGCAUAGCAUAGCAUUACAACUCACCUCUUUCCUCCUCCUCUCUCUCCCUCCUGCCCGCUAUCUCUGCUUUCACUCCCAUAAGGUUGGAGACCACUGACCUUCUCUCUUUCUCCCCCCCAUCCAAAGUUUGAGGCGAACGUUGAGGCAGGAAAAGUGAAUGGGAAUUGUGGUGGUGGCGGCGGCGGUAGCAGCAGUAGCAGGCAGAGGACGUCGAAAGGUCUGCGCCUUCCUCUUAAGAGUCCACCCUGCCGGUUGAGGAGGCGGCGGCUGCUGCUGCUGCUAGAAGAGUCCUUGGGGGCUGCCCCAAUGCUUUUAAGAUUCAACUUCAUUGAAUUGUUUCAGUCUUAGAACUGGGAACCAAAAAAUGUGAAUUGAGAACAUAAUCAUACAGAGUGGGAUUGGACCAAGAUGAAGGAGGUGUGAAAAUUGGAGGGAGAAAUAUCAAUAAUUUAAGAUAUGCAGACGAUACCAUACUACUAGCAGAAAUCAGUAAUGAAUUGAAACAAAUACUGAUGAAAGUUAAAGAGGAAAGCACAAAAGUAGGACUACAGCUGAACGUCAAGAAGACUAAAGUAAUGACAACAGAAGAUUUAUGUAACUUUAAAGUUGACAAUUAGGACACUGAACUUGUCAAGGAUUAUCAAUACCUCAGCACAGUCAUUCACCAAAAUGGAGACAAUAGUUAAGAAAUCAGAAGAAGGCUAGGACUGGGGAGGACAGCUAUUAGAGAACUAGAAAAGGUCCUCAAAUGCAAAGAUGUAUCACUGAACACUAAAGUCAGGAUCAUUCAGACCAUGGUAUUCCCGAUCUCGAAAGUUGGACAGUGAAAACAAUGGAUAAGAGAAAAAUCAACUCUUUUGAAAUGUGGUGUUGGAGGAGAGCUUUGCAGAUACCAUGGACUGCGAACAAGACAAAUAAUUGGGUGUUAGAACAAAUUAAACCAGAAUUAUAAUUAGAAGCUAAAAUGGUGAAACUGAGGUUAUCAUACUUUGCACAGAAGACAUGAUUCACAAGAAAAGACAAUAAUGCUGGGGAAAACAGCAGGGAGUAGAAAAAGAGGAAGACCAAACAAGAGAUGGAUUGAUUCCAUAAAGGAAGCCACAGACCUGAACUUACAAGAUCUGAACAGGGUGGUUCAUGACAGAUGCUCUUGGAGGUCACUGAUUCAUAGGGUCGCCAUAAGUCAUAAUCGACUUGAAGGCACAUAACAACAAAAGCUGCCGCCACACUAAAGGUCGGUUUUCUGUGUUGUGCAGAACGGACCUCCUGAUAAAAUGGUAUCUGCAGGAGGCCCUCACCUGCAGAGCACAGUGAUCGGCUGUGUAUAUAAGGGAUAAGACGGUCUUUCAGGUAUCCUGGUCCCAAGCUGUAUAGGGCUUUGUACACCAAAACUAGAACGUUGAACUUGGCCCGGUAGCAAAUGGGCAGCCAGUGCAAGUUUUUCAGCAGUGGGGUGACAUAUUGGUAAUACUUGCCCCAAUGAGCAGUCUCGCCGCCACAUUUUGCCCCAGCUGCAACUUCCAGACCAACCUCAAGGGCAGCCCCACAUAGAGCACAUUACAGUAAUCCAGCCUGGAGGUUACCAGUGCGUGGACAACAGUGGUCAGGCUAUCCAGGUCCAGAAACGGCCGCAGCUGUUUUACCAGCCAAAGCUGGUAAAAGGCACUCCUAGCCACGGAGGUCACCUGAGCCUCUAGCGACAAAGAUGGAUCCCGGAGCAUCCCCAGACUAUGAACCUGCUCUUUCAGAGGGAGUAGAACCCCAUCCAAAGCAGGCAAUUGACCAAUUAUACGAACUCGGGAACCACCAACCCACAAUUUACAAUAGAUGCUAUUGGAGGUCGCUGAUUCAUAGGGUUUCCAUAAGUCGUAACUGACUUGAAGGCACUUAACAACAAUAUCUCAGAGAGGACGUCAGGUGUCCUGCUCCCCUGGUGCAUUCACUAUAGCUGCCCAAUUUUCCUGCUUUUAAAAGUUUGAUAGAAAUAUCUGUUGGCUGUAUGUACUUUCUUCAGCCGCAAGGUUUUUUUGCCUGUUAGUGAAUUUCUUUACUUUUUAAUGUGGGAGGUAAGAAAUAGGAUCCUGUGCAAGUUUGCUGAGAAUGGAUUGAUCAUUUGCAUGGUUAUUGAGUUCAGUGGGAUUUAUUCCCUGCAAGAGAGCCAGUGUGGUUUAGUGGUUAGAGUGUCGGACUACAACCUGGGAGAUCAGGGUUCAAAUCCCCACACAGCCAUGAAGCUCACUCAGUGACCUUGGGCCAGUCACAGAGGAAGGCAAUGGUAAAGGCUUUCCUCUUCUCCCAGGCAUUUUAGCAUGUGUUUUAUACUGUUUAAAUUUAAAUUGUAUUUUAAAUUGUUUUUAUAAGAUCUGUUUUAAAUUGCAUUUGUUUUAAUGUUUUUAGUUACUGUAUACCGCCGAGAGAGCUUCGGCUAUGGGGCGGUAUAAAAGUAUAAUAAAAUAAAUAAAAUAAAAUAAGUAAAACCACCACUGAAUACGGUUUACCAUGAAAACCCUAUUCAUGUGGUCGCCAUAAGUCGGAAUUGACUUGGAGGCAGUCCAUUUCCAUAAACAUGCUUAAGAUAGGUGAAACUGACCA